GAUGAACGCUGGGCGGCGUGCCUAACACAUGCAAGUCGAGCGAUCUUCUUCGGAAGAGAGCGGCGGACGGGUGAGUAACGCGUGGGUAACCUGCCCUGUACACACGGAUAACAUACCGAAAGGUAUGCUAAUACGAGAUAAUAUGCUUUUAUCGCAUGGUAGAAGUAUCAAAGCUCCGGGCGGUACAGGAUGGACCCGCGUCUGAUUAGCUAGUUGGUAAGGUAACGGCUUACCAAGGCGACGAUCAGUAGCCGACCUGAGAGGGUGAUCGGCCACAUUGGAACUGAGACACGGUCCAAACUCCUACGGGAGGCAGCAGUGGGGAAUAUUGCACAAUGGGCGAAAGCCUGAUGCAGCAACGCCGCGUGAGCGAUGAAGGCCUUCGGGUCGUAAAGCUCUGUCCUCAAGGAAGAUAAUGACGGUACUUGAGGAGGAAGCCCCGGCUAACUACGUG
rnacentral:rRNA from 1 species